UCUUUUCUUUUUUUUUUCUUUUUUCUCUUCCCUCAAUAACAAUUCUAACAAUAAUGCCAAACAAAACUGCUUCUGUUAAAUUCUGAAGAAAGAAAUUAAUAAAGGAAUUUUAGGCAAGGCUUUUCCAGUAAACUAUCUUUAAUAUAAUAAUUUCCCCUUUGGUGCAAAAGGUUGAACAAAAAUUCCAUCUCAGUAUACAAUAUCUAAUAAGAAAUCAAAUUUGCACUGUUUGAUUUCUUCUACCAAAAGAACUCAAUCCAAAAGAAUUAUGAAAGAGUAUUAUUUUGAGCCUUACAAGUUUUGGUUUGGGAUGCUAUAUUGUGUACCAUAUCUCUUAACUGUUGUGAUGAUUAGGGUUAUUUAUUGCGCAAACUAUGUUUCUGGUUUCUGCUACAUGGGCCUGCCUAAUGCUAUUUUGGCUAAGACAAUAACAUAUUCCAUCAAUAUGUUAGUUCUAAUUAAUUUGAUUCUUGUAGCAAACAAUGCAAUUCAUUUAUGAAAAGGGCUACACUGGUGAAAAAUGGUCUGGAGAAUUCUGUUCCCAGUAUCAGAGUGGUACUUAAUCCCGAUAAGGUAUUGUUUGCUAAUUUUAUUAUCUUUACUUUCAGCAUCACUAAUAAUUGGGUUUGUUAUUUAGCUUUUGUUUUUAUCUGGUAAAGCCAUGUAUACCAUGAACUUUUCAAUAAUAUACUGCUUUUAUGCAUAUGUGAGUUCCUUAGAAGUGCUGUCCUCAUUCUUAAUAGAUUCAUUUUUAAUUUUAGAAAAUAUUCAGUUCAAGGACUUUAAUGAUCAUCUGAUUUUCAUGUCCUUUGGAUUGGUUGCAAGCAAAGUCAAUGAUUUACAUUGGUACUACCAUGUUGUAGUUAAAUUCUCUGUUAUUGGCCUCAUUUUGAAUUUAUUUUGUGUGUAUGUCAUCAAAUUCAAGGAUCUGUAUCCCUUGAGUCUACAGUCAUGUCUUCCAUAACGGUUUUUUGAAGUGUUUCAUCAUUGAAGGCUUGUUAUGGAAGUGUAUCUUUGCCAAACUCUCUCAAAUGCAUAUACCUUCUGGAGUUGGCCACAGAUGUUUUUUCGAAAUCAAUACCUGAAAAGUUGACAUCCAUAAUUUAUCGUUUUCUGUUGACAUAGCCAGAUUUUUGUGCCUUCCCUGAGUUGUAUGAAGUGUUUUGUAUUGGCGUUGGUUCAUAAAUUCGUUGGUAAUAUAUGGAAAAACUGGUGCAGCAAGCCUGUUUAUAUAAAGAACCAUUAUAAAUAUAUGCAUAUUAUGUGAAUAUUACUUUUGAGUUUUAUCUAUUUACAGCCUAGAAGGGGUUGCUUUGAAAUACGGGAGGAAGGUGGAGAGAAGUUCAUCAGUCUUCUGGUAAAACUUUCAAUUGCGGCAUCUAUAAGAGGCCUAUUUAUUUUAUUUUAUUUUAUUCUGUUCUUUUGCAUGGUUUUCUUGUCUUAAAAUUAUUCUAGUUAUGUGCUGUCAAUGAAAUUAGACUGCAAUUCCAUUCUUGUGCAAUCAAGGUCUGGAACUUUACACUUGCUGUUACAAUGACUGGUGAAAUUGACUGUUUCAGGAUGCAUACAAAACUUAACAUUUUGUUGGAGUUUCAACUGUGAAAUGUUUGCCCUUUGGCCUUAGUUAAGUGACUUGUGUUGAAGUUGUAGAUACUAGAGCUGCAUCUAACUUGUCACGUAAUAUCACUGAUAUGUUAAAAUUGCAUAGGAUUUAAAAAACUGACGCCAAGGUCAAAAUAUUCUCACUGAUCAUAAUGUUGAAAGUAGCGUUGUUUCUCCUUUUGAUUGGGUCUUCGCAUUAUUGUAAGGCUGAGAGAUAUGUUGUAGCAUCUGAUACAUUUUCUUCCCAUGUAUUGCCAGUCUUUAUGUUCCUGUUGCGUAGUCUCAGUUUUGCCUGUAUCUUUAUCUUGUGCAGGACAUGAAACGGCCAUUUAAACCAAUGAAGGAUCUUGACAUGGACAAAGUCAUCGCAGAUAUAAUUGACAAGAUCAAAUGAUGAGCCAUUGGAGUGCAGGAGUAUUUUGACUGCAGAGGCAGUUUUUUGUGGAGUUGGAAGUCAACCAAGCUAACAUGACUCUAAAAUGGAAACCUUCGGAUUCUGUUCUGUUGAUUUUCCAUGCAUGCAUCUGUUUGUAGUUUUGUUGUUGUUAUACUGUCAAGGUCAUUAUCCUUAUGAACAAAUUAUUUUGGAUAUAUUCUUGGCAAGCACUAUGAUGAACCAAUGCGUACAAGUGCAUUUUUAAUGUUGUUUCUGAGAGCUAAGGAAGUGAUAUUGACGCGUUAUUUACUUGAUUGUCUUGAUAUGUAAGUGGUUAUCUGACUGCAAAAGCUCAGGCCUGUUUAGUUGUCACUGAAAUAGAAAAUCCACGUCAUUCGCCUCCCUUGCACGAGGUUAUCU
rnacentral:misc_RNA from 1 species